UGUAAAAAAUAAUCUCUUCUAGGCAGAGCCUAUCUGAAGCUUAUGGCUUAUUAAGCAUCAUGCAUAUGACCAGCACUUAAAAAUACCAUAAAUAAAUCCAGGGAGAGGGCACGCAUAAAUCCUCAAUGCUAUCUAUUCUCCAGGCACUAGCAAGGGCACAGUAAAAUUGUGGGGGAGCUGCAGGUGCACUGCAACGUGGGUAAUUCCUGAAAGCCUUGUGCCUGUCAGCUCCCAAGGGCAGACGGAACAUCUCAGUGCCAUGGAAAGGAUUUCUCCAAUGACAAGUUGUUUGUGUGUCUCCUUUGUGGGGGUACAGCAUAAACUCCCUCUAUUUAGUUUGGUAGCUGAUGGGAGAGAGAGAGCGUAGCUUUAGCUGCCCUCCCUUCUGCUCCAUUUUCCUUUGAAAAGUGUUCUGCUGCUGGCAUUAUUAACUCUGAAAUUCCCCAUACAGCUGUGGGCUGCGAGGACUGGAUCUCCUAUGCGACCAUGGAAGAGGCACAAAGGUUUCCUUGUGACCACUCACUCUUUUUGUGUCCCCACAAAAGCCCGCUCACAAUGUAGUAUGCUGUUAAUAGCUAAAGCACAAGAUGUGGUAAUGUAAAUGAAGCCUGAGCAGCUGAAGCGAAGGUUUCGGGGAGACUGGGGUCUAAAUGAUUGUGUUUUAUCUUCCUUAUUGAGUCACUGCCGCAUGACUGUUUUGGCUUAAUCCCUUCAUAGCACUUUACGCAGAGGCAGUCCGUUCAGAUGUUUAAACACAUAUUCAUUAUAUGCUGUAUGUACUCAGAUGUCCUUCCAUGUGAAUAUGGCUUUGUUAGUACUGUGUCCUCAAGUAUAUAUUUCACCUGCCUGUGUGAUUACUGAGGAAUUUUGACAAAGUUUUGGCUUUGUUGCAAGACUGUACCUCCCAUUCCCUGAACUAACAUUAUGUUCUUCUUGUUAACAUGUACAAGAAUGCACUUGCUUUUUGUUUACUAAGGGGUUAUUAAGAAUUUGCAAAAUAUCAGCAUGGAAGGAAGGGAACUGAGCAUCGUAGAGGCUAUGUGUGCAGUAGAGAUCCAAAGAGCUUUGGGUUUUUCAAAGAAAGGAGUGUCGGGGGCCCCUGAGAAGUGUACGCAUGCCAUGAAUGUCCCUUCUGUUUGUCAGCUCUGCAGCAGUGUCAAAGAAGCUCCUAUCUGUGACAGGCAGACCUGACAGACAGCAUUGUUCAUUCGGUUUUUAUUCAAUACAAGGGUCACAGAUCCCAGUGUCAGGAUAAAGUACGACUAAGUAAGUGGUCUGAUUGAUCCUUCUAGGACAUGGCAGUCUGGGGUGUGGGUACUAGAUGUAAUUCAAAUUUUGCAGGCAUGGGAUAAUGACUCUGAGAUGAAGGUGAAAGAUAGGAAUACUUUAUUAGGGUGGAGGCAAGCCGCAGUGAGGAUUUAAAUCUAUUUCUAAAUAUAAAAUAUUUGGCCUGCAUACAGUUCCUAAUUUUUGUUUUUUUUUUCUAUGACAUCUUGCCAAGGUAAGGGAACAGAAGUUAUGUAGUAGAACAGUAAUCUGUGAAAAAGGAAGGUAAGAAGAAAUCUGAUCUUCCUGGCACUGUGCAAAAAUCCUGAUAAAGUCAUCAUUGGCCACUGCAGAACUGUGCUGUUUAAGAACAACUGACAACCUCAUCACACUGUUUCUGAACUGAGUUCUCUAGUACCAAGAUUGUCUUGCCCUUCUUCCACCCAAAGACCCUUGACAAUCAGGCUAGAGCAGUUAGACACAAAACUUUUAAGAAAGUCAACCAACACAAAUGUUCUUCAUUAGAAAUUCAUAAUGAAUGGUUUUGAAUUGCCUCAUUGUCACAGAGCAGCUCACAGUUGCAUAUUUUAGUUUUCAUCUCAGUGCCAGCAGAACUUAUGUUUCCUUAGAGAAGGGUAUAUUUUGAAGCAAGCAUUCCAAAUGCUGAUACAUUACGCUACUAAUGAUAAAGUUACUGUAAAGUUAUUGCCUAGACAGAGUGGCUGAGAUUUGAAGGCACCUCUGGAAACUGUUGCCCAAGCUCCUCCUCAAGGAAUGGUCAGGAGGAGAAGGUUGCUCAGGCCCUGUCCAUUUGGGUUUUGAGUAACUCCAGGAAUCGGGACUCCGUGAUUGAUUUGGGCAGCCUAUGCCAGUGUUUGAGGACCCUCAGCUUAAGAAAGAUUUUCCUUGUGUUUAGGUGGAAUUUCUUGUAUUUGAAUUUGUUCCACUUGCCUUUUGUCCUGUCACUGGGCACCACUGAGAAGAGUGUGGCUCUGACUACUUUAGGCAUGCUCUUCAGGUCUUUACGGACAUUGAUGAGAUCCCUCUGAUCUUUCUCCAGGCUGAACAGCCCCAUCAGAGUAAAGCAGGCAGACUGGGAACUCAGUGCAUCUGAAAUCAGUUCUGGAACUGACAUCUUUGAGAAAAUUGGAGUGAAAUUCUGUGCUGUGUCUCUAGAGUAGAAGCACAAAGACCAUGACCUUAGGUUAAAGUAACUUCAAGAUACUUUUGUGCUCCUUUAACCUUGGAUUGCCCUGGGGUCUGGUGAAAGCUCUAGCGUAAUCUAUUCAGCUAAAAUUGUGGCUCCUCUGCAGUGUCCUAAGGGGAUGUGAAAUAGGAUUGCAUGAAAUAGAAAUGUCAUGGCUGAAAUAGCCAUAAUGCCGUUCCUCUUGUCCCCACUCCAAACUGUAGCAUGCUUGUUAUACUAGACCUUGAGAAUGAAUGUUAGGAACAAGGCUUUUUGCUUUUUUUAGUGCUUCUGCUAAGGAAAUCUGAUGUGUUGUGAGGGAUUUUUAGGGCCCCUUUAGACCUCUGUAUUGCUUCUUCAUGGAUAACAGUGAAGAUGAGUCUUUUCUGUUUAAUCCCUCUAAGUCUCAGGUAUGAGAUACAUUUCUUUUUACUUUUCCCUAAGUAGUAAGCUUUUUAGAUUUGAUUUGGAUUUUAUUCCAUGUGUUGGCCCUGGCUGAGAGGAGUCUAGAUUUUUCUCUGAGGUUGUCCAACAGUGCUGGAGAGUAAAUAAUUAGGACGAAAUAGAAUGCUUGACUUUGUAUUAGGUCAUUUUACUUUUCAGGAGUGAGAAGUGCAGGAAGACUAGGGGAGGCAGAAAAUGACAUUUUGACUAUGGUGCCUUCUGGUUAUGAGGACAUCAUUCACAAACAUCACCACAAUGCAGUGAUGAAAUCAAGUGACCUUCUUUCACUUCAGCUUGGUCCUCAUCUCCAGUGGGCAGCGUCUAGACUGAAUUUAGUGACUACAUUGAUUAUUUUAUCAAAGGUAGUGGAGUGCACCAGAGGACUGCUUAGUCUACAGCAACAGCAUGCAACGCUGAGCAAAUGAUGUCCAGGAUCAGUGUCUCUCCUUACACCAUCAAGACUGCAGGGACCCUGGGGCCAGCUGGCAUUUGCUAAAGCUACAUGAAACGCAAAUGGAUAUACAGAAGCAUGCUUUCAUUUGUCGUUAUGUCAAGUGGAGAUGUAACACUAGAAACAGAAGGAUGUUUGUUGAUGUGAGGACCACCAGGAACUGACUGCUGGAAUUUUGCUCAAAGGAAGCAAGCCAGAUGAGAAGAGAAAAGAAAUCCCCAGCUUUCAAGUGCCACAUCAUCACAGGUGAGUCUGAAGAAUAAGAAGCGGCAUCUUCUUUUAAUCAAUUUUAAGAUGAAAUUAUGAAAAAGUUAUGUAGUGUGACUCCCUACACUGAGUUCAUAUCAGGUUCUAUGAGGUCAAGAUUGCUGGGCUCCACUACAGUCUCCCUUCUGUGCUCACAAGUGUAGGAGAUUUAAAGUGCCAACAAGAUCAAGAUCAACAAGGAGAGCGAGCUAUGGAACUACUGGUGAAAUUUUUCUCAUUUUGCACUGCAGAUAAUAAAUCCAUGAGUGUUGUGGAUGACUGGAAUAAUCCUCUGCAUGGAAGUCUCCUAACAACAACAACAAAAAAUUAACUUGUUAUAGUUGCCUUGGUUUAGAGCAGAGAUGAAUUCAGGACUGUAGAUUUUAUGCUAAUGAUCUUUGUACUCCAGUCAAUACAGAAGGAACAGAUUGGAUUAUCAUCAGAAAAGCUCAAGUGGUUUGAUUUACCUGAAGUGAGAUUCAUUGUUAGUUCAGAAUUAGACUGAUGUGAAAAAGAGGGUUGAUUGGACAAAACCUCUUUUCAAAUUCUAUGGCUUCAAAAUCCAGUUUAACUGAUUUUUCCAGAAAUGUGUCAAAAUAAAUUUAAAGAAAAUACUUAUAACUACUAAAAUAACUAUUACUAUUUCAUGUGGUUAUGAAGCAGUCAUAGUGAUAUGCCUUUAAAAUUUUUCUUAGUGCUUUGAGCAUCCAUCUAGAUGUUGUGAAGUAUUUGCUUAUGUAAUAUCAAAACACUUGUUAAAUUUUCAGCCCUUCCUCCCCUUGACUGCUUUUCAUUAUUUAGAAGAACACUACACGUAAUAUUUAAAGUGUUUUGGAAACAUACGGGAUGAAAUGACUUAACAUGACUUGAUUUUUGGUGACAGCUGCCUUCAUGUUUGCUGAUGUGUUCCUGUUCGUGGUAGUUGGAAUUUUUUUGAAGCUGAUCAUUGUUUUUCAAAAUGUUCACCUUUGGAGGAAGCAAUUUCAGAACUAGGCUUUUGUUGAUAUUUGAGCAUGAAUCAUCUUUGGAAUAUCUGUGGAGAGUAUUGGCUUCUCUAUUUUUAAGUUAAGGUGGAAUGAAAUAGCUAAGAACAUUUAAUUCAUUGUAAAAUGAAAACCUUUAUAUUAUUCAUGAUAGUGAUAGCCAGUGAAACAGGCAGAUCUGUGAUAGUUACAGAUAGUUAUAAGUUUCUUUUUACAUUCUUCCAUGCUGAAAUCAUAAAUUAACUUUUAAGAUAUUUUUCUUGCAGAAUGUAUUGUGCUUUGUAGAUCUUAAGAAAUAGUAUCUGCUAACAUAAAAGAUGAUUUUCUUAGUGAUUCAAUAAAAUGUUGCACAGAGACACAUACUUGGGAUAUUUCAAAAGGCUGUUCUAUACCUAAUACAGCUUGAUGAAUACAGUUGUAAUGAAUGAUAAAUGAUGCAUGCAGAUUUGAGGUUUGUUUCCAGUUUUGUAUGAACUGUAAAUAAAUAUG